rnacentral:rRNA from 1 species
CCUACGGGUGGCAGCAGUGGGGAAUAUUGCACAAUGGGGGAAACCCUGAUGCAGCGACGCCGCGUGAAGGAAGAAGUAUUUCGGUAUGUAAACUUCUAUCAGCAGGGAAGAAAAUGACGGUACCUGACUAAGAAGCCCCGGCUAACUACGUGCCAGCAGCCGCGGUAAUACGUAGGGGGCAAGCGUUAUCCGGAGUUACUGGGUGUAAAGGGAGCGUAGGCGGUUUAGCAAGUCAGAAGUGAAAGCCCGGGGCUCAACUCCGGGACUGCUUUUGAAACUGUUGAACUAGAGUGCAGGAGAGGUAAGUGGAAUUCCUAGUGUAGCGGUGAAAUGCGUAGAUAUUAGGAGGAACACCAGUGGCGAAGGCGGCUUACUGGACUGUAAAUGACGCUGAGGCUCGAAAGCGUGGGGAGCAAACAGGAUUAGAUACCCCAGUAGUC